UCGAGAAUCUUCGGCAAUGGGCGCAAGCCUGACCGAGCGACGCCGCGUGCGGGAUGAAGGUCUUCGGAUUGUAAACCGCUGUCGGGAGGGAUGAAGUGUAUCGGGGCUAUCCCCGGUAUUUGACAGAGCUCCAGAGGAAGCACGGGCUAAGUUCGUGCCAGCAGCCGCGGUAAUACGAACUGUGCGAACGUUAUUCGGAAUCACUGGGCUUAAAGGGUGCGUAGGCGGUUUGUUAAGUCAGGUGUGAAAU
rnacentral:rRNA from 1 species